rnacentral:lncRNA from 1 species
GAGAAGGCGGCCACCGCCCGGGCAUCAGGAUGGGAGCGACACCAGAGGACUCAGGAGAGUGCAGCUUGCUCUGUGAGUGGGUGACAACCUCUUGGCGACUCAGGCUCAGCUGAGGAUGGUGCCAGUGUGCCGGAGACAGCCGUCAUACUGCCGGAUAGAGUGGCUCACUUGCAUGUAUUUGGAACAAAAAAAGGAGAUGCCUGGCAGCCCCGCUCUCUGCAGUGCUGUUGAGCCACCAAUUUUUGUGGUUUUGUGACCACAAGUGCUGACUGAUGCGACAUGACCCCAGUCUUGUCAGUGAAUCAUCACCAGGCUGCUUACUGGAAACUGGAUGCAGCAAGGAAAUAGGAUUUAACCGCUCUCUGCCUCCCAGGAGCCCUGAAAUCAGCAUUCCCAGAGGAAAGAAGAUGGCCAUCUGGGCUUGGCUUCCGGCUCCCCCCAUCUGGCUGGAACACACAUCAGUCACGUUUCCUGCCCAAGCCCUCCGAGCAUUUGAAUGUGCUGUGAGCAGCCUACCUCAGCCUCCUCUCUUUACACAUGAAGACACUGAGGCCCAUUCAGGGCAAGUGGCAGGUCCCUGUUCUCAGAGUUGGGGCCAAGCAGAGAGUAAAGAGUUAAAUUUUAGAAUCCAGGAGUGGGGACCCAGACUGUGGCUUCUGUUAACUCCCUCAGUGGCAGUGGCGUCCUGCUAUGCACAGCCCCUCUGCUGUACUCCGAAUGGUCCCUUACGGGUAGCAGGAGAGACAUUAAAUAAUCACACUGA